AUGGUGAUGAGCUGACAGAGGAGAUUCUUGAGUCACUUAAUACCACUAGUGGCAGGAAGCUUUACGAAAUACCCCCAGGUGAAGCUCUGGUUGGUAUUGCCACAUCCGAAGGGAGAGAGAUGGUAAAAGCUUUGAGUAAAUUUGAAAGCCUGGUGGAUCUGGACUGCUCACUUUGUAUAUGGGAAACAGAACUAUACCAUGACAAGGAGAUUUCCACCGUACGCCUAGGGAUGUCGUCCAUACCUCGACGCUUGACCCGGAAGUUUUUGAAGACGAACGACAA
rnacentral:sRNA from 1 species